rnacentral:rRNA from 1 species
UACGAAGGGGACUAGCGUUGUUCGGAAUCACUGGGCGUAAAGCGCACGUAGGCGGAUUGUUAAGUCAGGGGUGAAAUCCUGGAGCUCAACUCCAGAACUGCCUUUGAUACUGGCGAUCUCGAGUCCGGGAGAGGUGAGUGGAACUGCGAGUGUAGAGGUGAAAUUCGUAGAUAUUCGCAAGAACACCAGUGGCGAAGGCGGCUCACUGGCCCGGUACUGACGCUGAGGUGCGAAAGCGUGGGGAGCAAACAGG